rnacentral:rRNA from 1 species
AAUACGUUCCCGGGUCUUGUACACACCGCCCGUCAUACCAUGAAAGUCGGUAGCACCCGAAAUGGUCGCUUUUGCGACCCCUAAGGUGAGAUCGAUGAUUGGGGUA